UGAGGAAUAUUGCCCAAUGGGGGAAACCCUGAGGCAGCAACGCCGCGUGAACGAAGACGGCCUUCGGGUUGUAAAGCUCUUUUCUGGGGGACGAUAAUGACGGUACCCCAGGAAUAAGUUCCGGCUAACUACGUGCCAGCAGCCGCGGUAAAACGUAGGGGACAAGCGUUAUCCGGAUUUACUGGGCGUAAAGCGCACGUAGGCGGUAGGGUAAGUUGGCCGUGAAAGCUCCCGGCUUAACUGGAAGAGUGCGGACAAAACUGCCGGACUUGAGGCUGAGAGAGGAGAGCGGAAUUCCCGGUGUAGUGGUGG
rnacentral:rRNA from 1 species